GUAGUUUUGUGUGAGCGUAUGUUUGUGGUGUAGGCAAGGGUUCGAACUCUGCACAGGGAACCCUUUGAUUUUAUUUUUUGUUUUUUUUAAAGAUGGACUGUAAAGUCCAAAAAGGGGCUGCAAUAAUUGAAAGAGAGAAGCUUCUUUUCCUUUUCACAUUUUUUUUCUCUUCUCAUUUCUUCACCCUCACUCAGAAGCCAUUCAUCCCUGGAAUCCGUUUAGUGAGAGUAAAUUUAAGGUUUUGAUGGUGCGUGCUUUGUGAGGGAGGAAUGAAUUCAGGAUGGUAGCUGUGUGAACAUGUUGCCUUGUUGGAAUGUGGACUCCAGUGGUUUUGUGAUGGAUGGGUGAGGAUAUGUAAGUCUCACCUUUAUCCCUGAUUUGUGAUGCAUGUGUGAAUGAACAUGUAUAUGUAUUGCUCUUGGUUGGCAUGAGAUAUAGAUUUGAAAUUUAGUUUAACACUAAAUACCUAGGUAAAUGAUUGCAAUUGAUUCUAGAUAAUGUGUUGGAGUUGGUUAUGUUACAUAACUAAGUUCUAUGUUUAUUUGGUCUACUUAGGUAAUUUUAUUAUGUUGCUCUGUUAUGAAAUGAUGAAUUAAGUAUGAG
rnacentral:sRNA from 1 species